GAUGAACGCUGGCGGCGUGCCUAACACAUGCAAGUCGAGCGAUCUUCUUCGGAAGAGAGCGGCGGACGGGUGAGCAACGCGUGGGUAACCUGCCUCAUACACGUGGAUAACAUACCGAAAGGUAUGCUAAUACAAGAUGAUAUAAGAGAUUCGCAUGGAUUUCUUUUCAAAGCUCCGGCGGUAUGAGAUGGACCCGCGUCUGAUUAGCUAGUUGGUAAGGUAACGGCUUACCAAGGCGACGAUCAGUAGCCGACCUGAGAGGGUGAUCGGCCACAUUGGAACUGAGACACGGUCCAAACUCCUACGGGAGGCAGCAGUGGGGAAUAUUGCACAAUGGGCGAAAGCCUGAUGCAGCAACGCCGCGUGAGCGAUGAAGGCCUUCGGGUCGUAAAGCUCUGUCCUCAAGGAAGAUAAUGACGGUACUUGAGGAGGAAGCCCCGGCUAACUACGUGCCAGCAGCCGCAGUAAAAC
rnacentral:rRNA from 1 species